rnacentral:rRNA from 1 species
UGAAUCAGCCACACUGGGAGUGAGCNCGGCCCAGACUCCUACGGGAGGCAGUGGGGAAUAUUGCACAAUGGGCGCAAGCCUCAUGCAGCCAUGCCGCGUGUGUGAAGAAGGNCUUCGGGUUGUAAAGCACUUUCAGUCAGGAGGAAAGGUUAGUACAGAAUACCUGCUCGCCGUGACGUUACUGACAGAAGAAGCA